CUAGAACAUCCAUCAAAGCAUUUUGGAGAAUAUCCCAUAUGCUACUGAGAAGAAUGUGUAUUCUGAUGUUGUGGAGUACAAUACCGUAAACACUCCAGCUUUGCCACAACCUACCUCCGAUAUUACUGCUUCAAUCAAAAAGAAACGCAGAACUGUCACCACCUGGAGCUUGAGCAGCUGCAUGCAUGACACCAGUGUCAUGAAUGUUAGCCUUCUGGUACGGCCACACAGACCUCUUGAGAAUGUGACAAAUACUACAGUACCCUGAGUAAUUUUGGAUUACAUCCCAAACAUUUUGAAUAUUUUGUUUUGGCACCCUGGAUACUUAUACCUUACAGAGAGGGCUGGGGAUAUUUCUGUUGGAGCACAGGUCUGCCUCCCACAGUUUAAUCCCCCCAGUCAAUCCUGUGGAGAAUGUAGUUAUUUUUAAGUCAGCUAGUUACUCAUUUGGGUUCAACUUCCAAGUUUUAACCAGCACUGUGUGGUUGUGCUGUGUGGGGUUGUGACUUCAAUGUGCGUUCAGUUUUCAAAAACUUGUACUUUUAGAGCCCUUACUUAAAGGUGAGUCAGUCUCCUCCCUGUGGGCUGUGCAAGAACUGGAAAGCUUUGUACACCUCUGUGGUGCUCACAUCCAUUUCUGGGUAUUUUAGCAGCACUGUUUGCUGGUAGUCUGAAGUCUCAUGGGAUUUUUUUCCCACUUAUUGCCUAGUAUUUAUUGUUGGGAGCCUCUGAAGCUGGAAAAUGACCACACUUGCAGGUGCCAUCUCAAAAACAGAGUGCCCAGGGCAAGCCAGUGAAAAACACCAAGUCCCUAGACAAUCCAAGCAGUGGGUUACUAGGCAGCAAUUGAAACUGACAUCCUUCUGAGUAUAUAAAUAAAUGUGCUACAGUGGUUAA